rnacentral:rRNA from 1 species
AUAUAUGAUUAAGAUAAGUCGAAUAUAGUCCCCAAUCCUGUCUGAUCUCGGAAGCUGAGCAGGGCCGGGCCUGUUUAGUACUUGGAUGGGAGACCACCUAGAAAGACCAGGUGCUGUAGGUG